rnacentral:misc_RNA from 1 species
GAUGAAGAACGUAGCGAAAUGCGAUAAGUAAUGCGAAUUGCAGAUUUCAGUGAGUCAUCGAAUCUUUGAACGCACAUUGCGCCCGCCAGUAUUCUGGCGGGCAUGCCUGUUCGAGCGUCAUUUCAACCAUCAAGCCCCCGGGCUUGCGUUGGGGCCCUGCGGCUGCCGCAGGCCCCGAAAAGCAGUGGCGGGCUCGCUGUCACACCGAGCGCAGUAGCGAUUCUCGCUCCGGGCGUCGGCGGCGGGCACCGGCCGUUAAAAAGCCUUAUUUACCCAAGGUUGACCUCGGAUCAGGUAGGAAGACCCGCUGAACUUAAGCAUAUCAAUAAGCGGAGGA